GGGAGUCCUAUCCUCACAGGGUGAAGUGUUCAGUCUUCACAGACAACAAUCUUGGACCUAGCAAUUUGUAAUUAGCAAACUUAGGUAAUGAAGAAAGAAAGUAAACAUUCUUUAGACAUGGGUGUAGAAAAGAAAGAACAAACUGGCCGUCUUGUUACAGGAGAUCAAAAAUCAAUAUCUUACUUCUGAAAAGGGGAAGAAGACAAGAAAAUUGAUGAGGAACUGGAGUUUCAAUAUCAGCCAGGUGUCAAUAGUCAAUUUUCAGGAAGGGACAGAUGACACUGUGAACUUGGCUUUAGUGAAGUACAUCAUGAUGAAGAAGGUGAUGUAGCUGGAGAGGCUGCUGCUGCUGACCAUGAUGAAGAUGAUGAUGAUGAUGAAGAUGAUGAUUAUGAUAAUGUGAGGAUUCAUCUGAUUCUAAAAAUCCAGAUGACUCUGAAAAUGACUUAUUCAGGAAAAGAAGAAUCUGUUGCAGGACUCCAAGCUGCUGAGCACCCCGAGGAAACAGAGGAUUCUCAAAACAAAAAAGUUGCCAAAAAAAUUAUAAAAUGAUGUGUAUUAAAUCCAGUGGUUC
rnacentral:lncRNA from 10 species